rnacentral:rRNA from 1 species
AACGCGAAGAACCUUACCAAGGCUUGACAUACACCGGAAACGGCUAGAGAUAGUCGCCCCGCAAGGUCGGUGUACAGGUGGUGCAUGGUUGUCGUCAGCUCGUGUCGUGAGAUGUUGGGUUAAGUCCCGCAACGAGCGCAACCCUCGUUCUAUGUUGCCAGCACGUAAAGGUGGGGACUCAUAGGAGACUGCCGGGGUCAACUCGGAGGAAGGUGGGGACGACGUCAAAUCAUCAUGCCCCUUAUGUCUUGGGCUUCACGCAUGCUACAAUGGCCGGUACAAUGGGCAGCGAUACCGUAAGGUGGAGCGAAUCCCAAAAAGCCGGUCUCAGUUCGGAUUGAGGUCUGCAACUCGACCUCAUGAAGUCGGAGUCGCUAGUAAUCGCAGAUCAGCAACGCUGCGGUGAAUGCGUUCCCGGGCCUUGUACACACCGCUCGCGA